ACGUGCGCAGGCGGGUUAUGUAAGACAAGAUGUGAAAUACCCCGGGCUCAACCUGGGAACUGCAUUUGUGACUGCAUGGCUAGAGUACGGUAGAGGGGGAUGGAAUUCCGCGUGUAGCAGUGAAAUGCGUAGAUAUGCGGAGGAACACCGAUGGCGAAGGCAAUCCCCUGGACCUGUACUGACGCUCAUGCACGAAAGCGUGGGGAGCAAACAGGAUUAGAUACCCCAGU
rnacentral:rRNA from 1 species